AUUUCUCCUCAAAGACAAAUAAGUGAACUCAUUGCAAGUGACAGCGCUAAAGUUGUUUCGCAGGCUGAUGAAUAGAAAACAUUUGUUGACCGAAGACAAGCUUAGAGAAACAGAUGAGGUACAUUUAAAAUUUCAUCUGUCAGCAGAAAUUUUUAACUGUGGGUCCUGUCAACUGAGUAACAAAAGAAACUUGGUGGACUGGUAAUCUGUGCUUGGUGUGAAGUAAGACUCAGAAAACCAUCCUAACUACCCAGCGGAGAAGCAGGAAUCCUACCUUUGCCUCAGUAGGGUCAAACCUAACAACGUUGAGUUGCAAUUUGAACCGGAAUCUCUGGAGACAUCAGGUCAACAGUAAUGUCUGCAGCGAGCUGUCCUCCAAACACGGAAAAGAUUAAGAGAUAUCAGAUGGCAUGGAAGACGGCAUCCUACUAAUCACUGCUGAAAAGCCCUCACACUUGACAUUCUAGGGCAGUAUCAGCCCAUCUAUUGUUUGAAGCUAUCAGUCAUCUGUGGCAAUACAUUACAGAUACCACCUCCUGCCUUCUCCAAACGCAGGAACUCUAUCAUGUAGCCAUUUGUAUUGAUCAGUUGGAGACCAAAAGAACCUGGAGGAGUGAAGGUAGACACAAAUGUUAACAAACAUACUGUAUUCAGAUUUCACAUGGCAGGAGAAAAAAGCCACUCCUGCUUCCGCUACGGGCAUUCCUUUGCCUACUUAGUAUACUCUGAGAGGCAGAAGGACAUAUACUGCAGAAAAGGUGGAGUUAAAGAAAUCAGACUCCAUGCCCAGCACUUGCCAAUGGGAUUUACUAUAUGACAGCAAAGUUUAAUCUCCCUAUCAUUCAUUUUUUCCCCCUUUAACUGAGAAUACCUAUGAUAGUUGGGGUCAGGCAGAAUACUAUCUGGGUGCAUGAAAGAAUCAAUCAAUGUACUUUGAUUAUAUACAUACUGACCACUGUCAUUCAGUAAAUAAACAUUUAUUA